rnacentral:rRNA from 1 species
GAUGAACGCUGGCGGCGUGCCUAAUACAUGCAAGUCGAGCGAACGGACGAGAAGCUUGCUUCUCUGAUGUUAGCGGCGGACGGGUGAGUAACACGUGGAUAACCUACCUAUAAGACUGGGAUAACUUCGGGAAACCGGAGCUAAUACCGGAUAAUAUUUUGAACCGCAUGGUUCAAAAGUGAAAGACGGUCUUGCUGUCACUUAUAGAUGGAUCCGCGCUGCAUUAGCUAGUCGGUAAGGUAACGGCUUACCAAGGCAACGAUGCAUAGCCGACCUGAGAGGGUGAUCGGCCACACUGGAACUGAGACACGGUCCAGACUCCUACGGGAGGCAGCAGUAGGGAAUCUUCCGCAAUGGGCGAAAGCCUGACGGAGCAACGCCGCGUGAGUGAUGAAGGUCUUCGGAUCGUAAAACUCUGUUAUUAGGGAAGAACAUAUGUGUAAGUAACUGUGCACAUCUUGACGGUACCUAAGCAGAAAGCCACGGCUAACUACGU